rnacentral:rRNA from 1 species
UACGGAGGGGGCAAGCGUUGUUCGGAAUUACUGGGCGUAAAGGGCGCGUAGGCGGAUAUCUAAGUUGGGGGUGAAAUCCCGGGGCUCAACCUCGGAAUUGCCUUCAAAACUGGAUAUCUUGAGUUCGGGAGAGGUGAGUGGAACUCCGAGUGUAGAGGUGAAAUUCGUAGAUAUUCGGAAGAACACCAGUGGCGAAGGCGACUCACUGGCCCGAUACUGACGCUGAGGCGCGAAAGCGUGGGGAGCAAACAGG